GUGAGGCUUCCGGACUGGCCCAGAGAGGUCGGCAACGACCACUCAGGGCCGGAAAGCUAUCCAAACUCGGUCAUUUAGAGGAAGUAAAAGUCGUAACAAGGUCUCCGUUGGUGAACCAGCGGAGGGAUCAUUACAGAGUUGCAAAACUCCCUAAACCAUUGUGAACGUUACCUAAACCGUUGCUUCGGCGGGCGGCCCCGGGGUUUACCCCCCGGGCGCCCCUGGGCCCCACCGCGGGCGCCCGCCGGAGGUCACCAAACUCUUGAUAAUUUAUGGCCUCUCUGAGUCUUCUGUACUGAAUAAGUCAAAACUUUCAACAACGGAUCUCUUGGUUCUGGCAUCGAUGAAGAACGCAGCGAAAUGCGAUAAGUAAUGUGAAUUGCAGAAUUCAGUGAAUCAUCGAAUCUUUGAACGCACAUUGCGCCCGCCAGUAUUCUGGCGGGCAUGCCUGUUCGAGCGUCAUUUCAACCAUCAAGCCCCGGGCUUGUGUUGGGGACCUGCGGCUGCCGCAGGCCCUGAAAAGCAGUGGCGGGCUCGCUGUCACACCGAGCGUAGUAGCAUACAUCUCGCUCUGGGCGUGCUGCGGGUUCCGGCCGUUAAACCACCUUUUAACCCAAGGUUGACCUCGGAUCAGGUAGGAAGACCCGCUGAACUUAAGCAUAUCAAUA
rnacentral:rRNA from 1 species